CGCCGUCUAAGAUGGUACCUGAGUUGAGUUUAGAACGUCGUGAGACAGUUUGGAUUCUACCUGGGGUGCGCAAACGAUGCAGUGAAGAGACCAUCACCUUGUACGAGAGGACCGGUGAUGCAUACCCUCUGGUGAUCAGUUGUCUUGCCGAAGGCACGGCUGAGAAGCUACGGUGUAACAGGAUAAACGCUGAAAGCAUAUCAAGCGUGAACCUUUCUCUUAGACAGCUGCAUCCAACCUCAUGCACGACAAGCAUGUGGAUAGGUGUACGGUGUGCCCUGUGUAAACA
rnacentral:rRNA from 13 species